rnacentral:tRNA from 1 species
GGGCCGAUAGUUCAGUUGGGAGAAUGUCUGGUUCGCAAUCAGAAGGUCGGGGGUUCGACUCCCCCUCGGUCCA